UAUCGACAAGGAAACAUUUUUUUUUACCAGUGGAGCACUCUUCCCGGUUCCCGUGGGAGCUGGAAGCCGAGAGCGCAUGGAGAAAUUAGAAACUCCAAGAGAUUUAUCUUUCCCUUUCCCCUUUCUCACCUUAUAACGGAAUUCCCUUUCACAAUUCAUCAUAUAGUUUCCUCUUUUUCCCUUUUCUCUCCUGACACAUGGGACCUAC
rnacentral:lncRNA from 1 species